rnacentral:rRNA from 2 species
UUGAAGAGUUUGAUCAUGGCUCAGAUUGAACGCUGGCGGCAGGCCUAACACAUGCAAGUCGAACGGUAACAGGAAGCAGCUUGCUGCUUCGCUGACGAGUGGCGGACGGGUGAGUAAUGUCUGGGAAACUGCCUGAUGGAGGGGGAUAACUACUGGAAACGGUGGCUAAUACCGCAUAACGUCGCAAGACCAAAGAGGGGGACCUUCGGGCCUCUUGCCAUCAGAUGUGCCCAGAUGGGAUUAGCUAGUUGGUGAGGUAACGGCUCACCAAGGCGACGAUCCCUAGCUGGUCUGAGAGGAUGACCAGCCACACUGGAACUGAGACACGGUCCAGACUCCUACGGGAGGCAGCAGUGGGGAAUAUUGCACAAUGGGCGCAAGCCUGAUGCAGCCAUGCCGCGUGUAUGAAGAAGGCCUUCGGGUUGUAAAGUACUUUCAGCGGGGAGGAAGGUGUUGUGGUUAAUAACCGCAGCAAUUGACGUUACCCGCAGAAGAAGCACCGGCUAACUCCGUGCCAGCAGCCGCGGUAAUACGGAGGGUGCAAGCGUUAAUCGGAAUUACUGGGCGUAAAGCGCACGCAGGCGGUCUGUCAAGUCGGAUGUGAAAUCCCCGGGCUCAACCUGGGAACUGCAUUCGAAACUGGCAGGCUUGAGUCUUGUAGAGGGGGGUAGAAUUCCAGGUGUAGCGGUGAAAUGCGUAGAGAUCUGGAGGAAUACCGGUGGCGAAGGCGGCCCCCUGGACAAAGACUGACGCUCAGGUGCGAAAGCGUGGGGAGCAAACAGGAUUAGAUACCCUGGUAGUCCACGCCGUAAACGAUGUCUACUUGGAGGUUGUGCCCUUGAGGCGUGGCUUCCGGAGCUAACGCGUUAAGUAGACCGCCUGGGGAGUACGGCCGCAAGGUUAAAACUCAAAUGAAUUGACGGGGGCCCGCACAAGCGGUGGAGCAUGUGGUUUAAUUCGAUGCAACGCGAAGAACCUUACCUGGUCUUGACAUCCACAGAAGAAUCCAGAGAUGGAUUUGUGCCUUCGGGAACUGUGAGACAGGUGCUGCAUGGCUGUCGUCAGCUCGUGUUGUGAAAUGUUGGGUUAAGUCCCGCAACGAGCGCAACCCUUAUCCUUUGUUGCCAGCGGUUAGGCCGGGAACUCAAAGGAGACUGCCAGUGAUAAACUGGAGGAAGGUGGGGAUGACGUCAAGUCAUCAUGGCCCUUACGACCAGGGCUACACACGUGCUACAAUGGCGCAUACAAAGAGAAGCGACCUCGCGAGAGCAAGCGGACCUCAUAAAGUGCGUCGUAGUCCGGAUUGGAGUCUGCAACUCGACUCCAUGAAGUCGGAAUCGCUAGUAAUCGUGGAUCAGAAUGCCACGGUGAAUACGUUCCCGGGCCUUGUACACACCGCCCGUCACACCAUGGGAGUGGGUUGCAAAAGAAGUAGGUAGCUUAACCUUCGGGAGGGCGCUUACCACUUUGUGAUUCAUGACUGGGGUGAAGUCGUAACAAGGUAACCGUAGGGGAACCUGCGGUUGGAUCACCUCCUU